GCCCGGCUGGCUCAGUCAUGAGAGCAUGUGACUCUUGAUCUCGGGGUCUGAGUUCAAGCCUCGUGUUGGGUG
rnacentral:tRNA from 1 species